AGUUCAUCUAAUGAAUUACACCUCUGGUAACUAAAAAUAACAUUGGGAACAGUUUGUUAAAACUAGUUGCAAAAAUUGCUCGGAUAAAUUUAUGUUCUGAAACAAGGUCUAACAUCAUUUGUUUGCUGAUACCACUUGGUUUUACUGUAUAUGAUCUAAUACAAUGAAAUUCAUACUAGUGUAAUUGUUGCUUAAACAUCCACAUACAGUACUUUGUGGGGCCACUUUCUAAAUUGUAAUUUUAUUUUGUAUCACUUGUACAUUCUAUAAGCAAGCUAAAUGGAGGAGGAGUCAGUGUUUGUUGUUAUUUUGUUCUGUAAGGUCCACUCUCCAUCACUGUGGAAAAAUGGUGGGCGAGCCAUCUCCAGUUUGUAGUGUCAACAAACUCUAUGUCCACCCUCACAUUUUCCUUUACAGACAUUUAAUGGCAUGAAAUGGCAUUGUAUUCUUUAAAUUCCAAAUAGAUUGAUCAAUACAAUAAACAAGGCACAAUAGAGAUGCUAUGUUCACCAUGCUUGUCUUUCAACACAAAGAGAUUACUUGUUGAAGCAGAGAUCCCUGCUGCAUUAUGUGUGGAUUUGGUAGCACUGGAUGGCUAAUUAUGGUCAUGACUGUCCUGUCUGGGAGUUUCGGGUAGAGGCCGGUGAGCAAAUGUUGCGUAGUACAAACACCUGAUCUAGAUUAGCGAUCCAAUGAUCUUUUAAAAUGUUAUUUGCAGGUUUCCGUGGUAACUAAUAUGGAGCAGUCUGAAACAGAACAGAGCCACAAUUUGAACAUUCCAGGCCUGGAGGGAAUAUGAAACUCAAAGGAUAGAAAAUGAAUUCAUGCUGGAACAUUUCCACUGAUUAAGCCAAUCGCAUUACAGAAAAGUAGGAAACGUGGCCCUGGUUUGUCUAUUGUACAUAAUCUCCCUGGUGUGUGAUAGACUUCCUCCAGCAGUAAAUGCAACAGAAAAGACAAGAGUAACUUUCCAAGCAAAUGAAAAAACUAACUUUAUGACAACCCUUUGGUCAUUUCAUGCUUCCGUUACUAAAAACAAAUGACUCCCACAUACAGUACCAUAAUACAAUGAUCAAACGGUUAGGGAUCCCAUGACCUAUACGUCUAUUUUAUUGAGGCGAAAUGUGCAAACCGACUUUUAGACUUCAGCAUCACUUUAAUGACAUCACUUUUGUGGCAGUUUAAUCUCAAGGAUACACACAGUACUUUUAUGAUCAAAGCAAACCAAGCUGCAACAUUCUGUCAAAAAAGUAAGCAACCCCACGCAAUUACCCAAAAAAGAAAAUUCUGUCAUCAUUUACACACCUUCAUGAUGCUCCAAAUCCAUUUAAAUUUCUAUUCUCCGUGGAACACAAAGGGAGAUUUUAGGACUUGGCAGUCUAGCCUCAGUCACCAUUCAUUGCAUCUUGAGUAAAUUAUCAUAUCAUUUUUAUUUCUGGGUGAACUAUGCCUUUAAAAGUGACUGAACAGAUCAUCUACAUAUGACAUAUAGCCAGUUAUGACAGAGCCCUGAAUAUUUGUGCAAGAAGUGUCUAUCAUCAUUUUACAGAAAUCCUUUAGAAGGUAAAUGUGGAAAGUAUUAUCUUCAUAAAUAACAAGGACAGCUGAAUGCAAUGAAUGUCAUAUAAAAGUCUUUAAAGACAGACAACCACACAUUUAUUUACUUGUAAAUGUGUUUGUGAAUGGAGAAAUCCUAGAAUAUCAUCUUCAACUUGUCUCGACUGAUUUGUCAUGGACGAUAACAUUUCAGUAUUUACUCCUAAAAUUCCCAGCACCUUAUGCAAGGUAAGCAUGCACGCACUCAUUCCGCCUACUGAACAACACUCUACCUUCAUAAUAUUGCAACUAGAUUGAAUCUCAUGAAAGAAACAAAAAAUGCCUGACUGAUUCCAAUCUCCCUCCUAAAUGUCUAUCCAGAGGUUUUAUUGUUGAUUUAUUUAUCUAAUUCUCAUUAGAUUCUCGUAACUGUAAAGUAUUUAUUUAUUUAUUUUUUACUUAAAUCAGCAUAAAGGUAGUAAAACAAAUACUAAAAUGAUAUAGGUUGUAACUACUGUUUAAAUAAUAUGUAUUUGUUUGCAUUAUAGUAAUGAGAAUUGGGGGAGAUGUGUGCUUAACUGUCAUGAAAAUAAUAAUUAUAAAAAAAAAAAUACUGGUCUUCCAAAUAGCAAAACAUUUCUUUAUUUAGAUUUUGGGGUUAAAUAUGACUCAGAUAUGCUCUUAAAAGGUUUCAUGAGAUUCACAUACUGACUGUUUAUGCUGUCCGGUAGUCUCAAUAAACUGUUUGCUGGAAAUACACUGCAUUUACCCAUACACAAAAACACAUACCGCGGCUUUGACAAUGGUUUUGAGAGAGUUAUUACUACAAGAAUCGGUUCCUGCUACAAUGGAAGGAAAUGCGUCACAGAUGCAAGGCUGACUCAAAACAAAGAGCGACGGAACAGAGCGACGGCCACUUAAAAACAAAGAGGGGGGAAAUGCAGGAGUGUAUAGUGGAAGAACUGAAUGAAUGGAGGAGAAAUAAGAGAGGUGGGGGGACUUGAAAGAAGGACAGAAAGACUGAACAUGGGCCUUUACUGCAAAAGGGUCUUCCCGUAAACUUGGGCUGUUUGGCCGAGGCAAAUGUGACCCAUGACAGUGAGCUUUCGUUCCGAGAGGGCAGUAGAGGAAAGAUGCAGGGGCACAGAGAGUUUUAACAGUUUUUCCACCCUGUUUCUUGAAUUGAAAAGUUAUUUUUUAGGGCUUUUCAUCACAGGCGCUGAACUCAAUGAGGAAGAUUGUUUCGGAACACCAUAGGGUCGCUUAUUUAGACUUACAAGAAGUAAGAAUGUGGAUGUAAGUCAGGAACAAGCCUCUUUGAAUCUUGAUGGAUUUUCUUAGCGCACAAGUAGCAGUGUUUCGCUGUCUGAUCUGAUAAGGUUCCUGCAAGCUUGUUUGCAUCCCGUCUCUGUGGUCGAGUGUCACAAACACAGAAUGUCAUGUUGUGAAAGUCCAGGUGCAAGUUACCACAUCAAGCCUCCCUGAUGGGAAUGGGAGUGACGAGUUUGUGUGAGUGACAGAGUUAAAGUUAACAUAAAAUCAAAAUGGACCCUGAUUACUUUCUUAAAAUAUGUUUCUGGUCUUAUUGUAAACAAGUCAUUAGUGCACAUAAUUCCAAAGAAGAAAAUGUUUUUGUAAUAUUUCAGCAAGUUGCUAUGUAACUUGCUAUGCCUUCCUUUUCAGUUGACAUCAGCGGGUUCUCGGUUGUGUAUUGGUUAUUAUGAACAGUUAGUUCCGGUCCUCUAAUCUGAUCAGACGAGCUGCGUUGCUAGUUGCUCCCUACAUUUUACUACUAGUUUCACUUAGAACAUGUACACAGUACAUCACAUUACAGAAGUCAAAUGGCUUGCAAAUGCUUGUUUCAUUUGUAGACGUUGACAUUUAGAAAAUUAGAAAAUGAAAUGACACUUCUAAAUCCCUUUUGUGAUAACAAUUUUAGUUCUUUCUCUUUAAUUUCAACUCUGAUUUCGGAGUGAGUCUCCAUUGUCAAAAAAAAAAAAAAAAAAAAAAAAAAUUAACUCACUUCUGGAUAGUACUUUAAGAAAGAACACAAGUUUACGUAUAGCAAAAUGCUUGGGAGGAUAUUAUAAAUAAUUUCUUGCAUCACCUCUUCAUGAUGUACUGUAAUAUUCUGCUGUCAAUCUGAAAUAGAAGGAAGCAUGCUGAAGGCAAUCUCUACACGAAUGACCUGUUAGUACAGGAGUUUAACUUCACUUGCCUCCACCUGCCUUUGUAUAACACCCAAUAUUAAGCCAAAAGGAACUGGAGAGGUGAGACAGACACAGCAUGUGAUACUGUUUCCAUUAUACAGAAAAUAAAGCAGAGGAUAUAUUGAGUGUUAUAUGGACUCUGUCCAUUGUCAUUUGGCAGGAAGAUUAAUCUGCCUGUCACAUACAGCCAGGGUCCAAAAUGUAGGCCAAGAGUGAGUUAAAAUUGGGUUUGAUGAGUAAAUAAAACGGAGUAACUUUAUUAAGAACUGUUACAUUACAUAGUUUAACUUAAAAGAUACAAUAAUCUGACCCUCGCUGAUGUAAGUGAAGUAUGCAAUUCAAAUCAUAGACAUAAAUAACAUCUACUAAAUGUAGCCGGUGAGUUGAAAAUAAUCAACACAGGAUACAAAACUAUUUUUGGGGGGUUUAUUCUGACAGCUGUUUAAAAAAAUAAAAAAAUAAAAUAAAAAUGAAAUAAGGUACAAUGAAAUACGGUAGAGGCUAAUGUUAAAUGAAAAUACAAACAGGGCAUUAGCCUACCUAUAUGCUUCAGCAUUCAUCACCUUAAUCCAUGCUUAUAUAAUUCACAGUAUUUUAUGCAUUUAACACAUGCUUAAACCACUCAAAGCAUUUUAUGCAUUUUUAACCAGGCUUUAAGGACAUGUAUAACAGUUUAAAACAAUAAAAUUCACAUUACACAAGUUCACUUAAUUGGAAAAAACUCUGGGCAAUAAAUCAUUAAAUGAGAUAUGAUUCAUUCUAAAUGUAUAUACCCAGUCCUCGCAUGUGCACAAAACGUAGUCAAACUCUACUCAUGCAAUCCAUAUGUAUCCUUCAAAAAUGAUCCAUAACAAACUCUCAGUUUUAACAUAUGACUCUCCUGAACACAUAUUUAAUGUAAUUUAUCAGCAUUUUGUGUGAAAUUUUAUAUUUACCCAAAUAAUUCUCAAACCAUGAACAAAACUGGGAGCUCUCUUGCACAAUACAUGUUCUCAUGUCUCUUAACCAGCACACAUGCGCAACACAGUGCCAGGUUGCAAAACUCCGGUUCUGAAAGGGGCCACGUCCAGUUUAUGUCUAGAGUUAAAUGUGCAAUAUGUAAAAUUUUUCAUGUAAUAUUUGCCUUUUUUUUUUGCCAAUGUGUGAACGGCUUGUAACGCAACUUAAAAAAUUAGCCCUUCCCGGACUUACUAAUUUGCCUAUUAAAGCCGGUACACCGAUUUUCAUGCGAAGGGAGCGGGCCGCUUUUGCUGGGAAAAUCCAAAGGAUGUGACGUUUAUGGGCGCUCCCGAGAGCCUUGACUUGGUGCUUCUCUUCUGCUAUUUAACAGCGUCAACAAACUGCAACACUAGGUAACGUUAUCUUAGAGAUGGAAUCCAGCAAACGUCCGGCUCCCAGCACAACACCGACUCCUACACAAACUCCAAGUAAGCCCAAAAAAAAAAAAAAAAACCUUCACUGAAUCCCAUCUGGCUAAGCGGGAACGUGAUCGUGGUCGAGCAAAAACUAAUGUGAACAUCGGCAGGACAUUUGAUUCCUGGAGGGAACUUUGUUUGGUUUUGGGGAUCAAAACCGACUCUGAAUUGGCAUUCUUCUUAUUGGACAGGUAAGCUUACAUGUGAAAUAUAGUGCCAUAAGGAUUGAUCUGUGUAAUUUUAGCUAACUUGAUCUUGCCUGCUAACGCUGACGAAUUGCAAGCUACCUUGCUUUGUAACUUUCAAAUAAUUUAAACGAUCUUCUCUUUAUACUAAAAGUCAGGUAUGCUGAUUCACAGUAACUGACCUAAUGUUCAUCUGUCAUUAUUCAGCAAGGUAAACAACAAUAACACAUGAAAUGAAUGCUAGACAAUGUUCAAGAUAAUGCAAAAAGACCCAUUCAUUAGUGUAACUUAACUUGGUUAUACAGAAAAUAUAUAUAAUCUAUUAUUAUAAAACAAUAGGACAUCGAUAUAUCAAAAUGACAGUUGUGAUGGAAUAACAUCAAUACUGAAUUGUGUCAACAUAUUUAUAAUGUACAGUCUAUUUUAUAAACAGCUACUGUCAUCAUCCACCAAAUUUAGCUAACAGCUAUUGAUAAAGCUAGCUGGCUAGCUAGCUAACGCUGACAUAGGCUAUCGUAUAAAUGCAGUCAAUGUAUAAUGCAAAGAAAAGUGAUUACUUCAAACUACAGUCUCGCAUAGCCAGACCUAUAUCCACACUUUGUUUUAGCCCUGUUCCAGCACUGGAGAGUGAAAUGUAAUAUACAGUUUCAAAGUUUGUAGUAAAACAAUCAUAACUGUGUAAUUUUAAUUAUGCUACCUCAUCUGUAAUCAUGAUGCCGGUGAAUCACUUUCAGUCUCGCUUCCCUAUACAGUGUGCGCGAUCACAAGCAACAGGCUGCAGUUCACUUAAUGGCCACAGGUGUCAUUAAUAACAAGGGUUUCUGAAUCUUACAUACUGCACCUUUAAAUAUCAUGACAUUUUUUCACUUAAGAAAAAAGAAAACAAGCCAUUAUGUUUUUCCAGAACUCAAUGUGGCGACACAUACACUCUUAGAAAUAAAGGUUCUUUACCAGCAUGCAUGGUUCCAUGAGGAAUCUUUAACAUCCAUGAAACUUUCCAUUGCUCAAAAUGUUCUUUGUAGUGGAAGAAGGUUCUUCAGACUAGAAAAAUGUUCUUCAAGAUGGUUCUUUUAAGAACCUUUAACUGAAAGGUUCUUCUAUGGCAUCGCCACAAAACACCCUUUUGCAACCUUUAUUUUUAGGAGUGAUGUAGAAUAUUCCUCUCAUUUAACCACCAAAAUUAAGAUUUGAGGAACAAAAUCACUGUCAUCAAUGUGUUUUUGUGACAGGUGCAGUUUCACUGAGAGAUGGAGAAAAGCUUGCAUAUGAUGCAAUGACCUGCAUUGUUUGUCACAAAAAAUGCUAGGAAAAAACAACUAAAUAAUCCAAUUAUCAUAGGGACAGAAAUAUAUUUUAAAUAAAAAUAAUGCAAUGGCUGGUGAGAAAUUUUAUGGCUAAUUUUCCCAGCUCCCUCUCAAUUGGCAGGUGUGAAAAAAAGUUAUUUUUGGACACUGCACACAACUAUACACAUCUUUAAUUUGGAAGGGAAUAACUGAGUGGAGGGACAGAGUCCUUCUCUGGGGUUUACUCCUUUGGAAAAUCCAUUCUGUCUGGUUAAAUGAAAGCUUAAUGUGAGUGUGGAAAAGUGGAAAAUUUAAUUAAGCUGCUAAGGGGGGUUUAAGGCACUCGGCACGAGCAUUUCACUGCCUUCUCCCCCCGUUUUUGCGUACACUCUCCCCACUACGACCACUGUCUGCCUAGCGUCAUGUUUGCAGCUGUGUUGUAGUCACAUAGUAUGCAAUAAUGAAGCAUUUAACUUUUGAAUCAAACUAAUUAACAGCAUUUGUUUUUUGUACCACAUACAAGUUCAGGGUCUUGAGUGCUGCAGAUAUUUGUAACUAGCAAUCUGCCACGAGAGGCUGAGUGUUACAGUGAUUUUACCACAGCUAAGGGGUGUUGUUUAUCGCAACGGUAAAAGCAAUGUGAUAAUAGAUUGAUCAUAAUAAAAUUAAUUACAAUAAACAAUUUUUCUGCCAAGUAAUAAAGUACAUAAGCCUAAUUGUAGGCUGAUUUAGAUUGCCUAGCAACAUAGUAACUUAUUAUAAUAUUAGAUCUGUUCCAAAAUCUAGUGAGCUGCCUUGCUGCCUGCAACAUUCUAACCCAAAUGGAACCUCAUAAGUGACUAAAUUGCAACUCUCUACAUAAGCACCACAUUGAAAGCACUCCUCACGUCGAAGUAUACAGGAGACCUGAUUCAGUUGAUUAAAACAGAGUUUGAUGUUGGCAUGUUACUAAGCUAACAAUGUAAUAAGCAUAAAUAUACAUACACACAAAUGCUGGGUGUAAUCAGUAUGAUUGAACUAUCUUUUAUUAAUACUUUUCAGCUUCAUAUAAAAUCAAAAGUAUAUUUAGAGUCAAAACCUUUCACUUCAACCUCCAUCUUAGAUGAUCGUUAUCACUGAGCUUGUUGCAAUUGCCAUCACUGCAAAAUACACAUUCUGGCCAAAAUGAAGCAGGCUAUUUUAGAAGCAGCAUAAGGUUGCUACCUAUCUUUUAGAACAGACUUUACAUGGGGAAUGUGCCUGUGAUGCCUUUAAAAGCUGUCUACAUAGGCAGCUCACUAGGUUUUGGAACAAAGCUAUAGAAUUCAACUGAUAUGCAUUUACAGCAGUAGCGUGCAUUCGACAAACUUGGUACCAGGUCUCGCCUUCUGAUAUUACUUUAUUGUAAUUUAUUUAUAGUUCUUUGUUCUUUUUAAAGAGGGAAAGAAAGUUUUGAAUAACUUUUCUGUCCUCAUUUUUAUUGCCCUUUCGCUUAAGGUUUCGAAGGGGCUGACUGGUUCACAUGUGUGGAUAUAUUGGGAAUAUUGUUUAGAAGUAGUAUAUACACACAUCUAGAAAAAAUGCAGGUGCACAGCUACAAGUUAAUGUACAUAGCUUUUCUAUAUUGAAAAUAUUACAACAGCUCCAAACAUGGCCCAUCCAAUCAGAUUUUAGAGUAAGAUUUACACAUUUAAUGAGUAAAUUUACACAAGAUUGACAUCCAUUUAAGGAAUAACAAAGAACAAAAUGCAAGAUCUGGUAUAUUAUAUAAGGGAUAAUGGACAUCGCAAAAUAAGCCGUAAAAAUAAACCACAAGACUUCUUCCAAGUAAAUAAAUAAAUGGACAUGAAAUAUUGAGACGAUGUAGUGAUAUGAGAGACAUGAAACUAGAACAGAUAUGUAGGAAAACAUUUGCCUUGGACAACUGUCAAUUAUACAGUUUAGCAGUCAUUACAAAGCCUUGAAUGUCCAAUCAGAAUCAAGUAUUCCUAUAAGCUGUGUAAAAAGCAACAAUUAUAAACAAAUGUAUGAAACUGUGGAAAUUCAAAGGUAGAGGUCUGUAGCGUUCACUCAGAACACAAUUUCUGCCUUUAUAAUAUGCAACGUGCACCUGUCUAUGUGACUCUUACCUUGCAUACAUCACUCUGCUUGACAGCUCAAUCAGCCAGACAGGCCAUCAGAGUGAAUCUCCCACCCUGACAGCAGUCAACACUCAAUCCAGCCUGACAGUUGACCAGGUACCGCCAGCAGCCAGGCAGUAUCGCAUACAGAAAGCAGGGCUUGAAAGCUGCAUUCCAAAUUGUUGUAAUAGCAUGGAAAAGACACACCAGGACAUUCUUCAAAAACUCUUCAUUUGUGGUUCCACGGUGAAAAGAAAGUAAUUUGAGUUAGAACAACAUGAGGAGGAAUAUAUUAAAUAACCGUGACUGUUUCUGAAAUUGCCGGGGCCUGACAUCUUGAGGAACACCGCAGUGGUAAACAGGGAAAGGUUGCAGUCCCGUUCCUCAACCUCGCUCUGACAUAUUUAGGCCUUCGUAAUGUUCCCUGUUUUGCUCUGAUUACCUCUCGUGUCUGCUGCUGCCCUGUCUUCUUAAUGUCUCUGGGCAGGCAGAUGAUCUAAGAUGGCAGAGGGGAUUUUCAAUUAUACUCUAUUCUCAUUUCUGUGUUUUUCUCAACCUCACAACGCAAUCUGAAGUUGGAGUCUAACCAUGUGCAUUCCAUCUGAAAGUGGAAAGGUGCUCCGUGAGGGUCAGAAAGUUUGGUAACAUCAAUCCACAAAUCUUCACUUUUUUCUGGAUGAUGCUCUUCUGUGGAAAGGUGAGGGUGCAGGCAAAAGUCAUGCAAAGUAAAGUGGGUGCUGUGACAUCCACUAUGGGAGAUUUCGAUUGGUUCUAGAGAUCUGGGAACAAAGGAGAGACUGAGGCCAUUUGACAAAACAUGGGGAAGAUGUUUAUCUUAAUAACUAUAAGGUUUGAGUCAAAAGUCCAACUACACAAAUGCUUUUUGCAUUUACCACACUGGCAUACAUUGAUACAAGAGGAAAGUAUAUAAUGGAAGCAAACUGGCAUUUAGCACAUUAUGCCUCUAACAAUUUCGGUUGCAUAAAACAUGGUUUGAUAUUUUUCUAUACAGCAUUGGAUGUAAUCUCAUUACUUUCGCCAAAAAGUAGUGUAACACAUUACAUUUUAAACUUGAGUUAUGACUUCAAAUUAAGUUAAUUACUUUAAGUAUUAUUACUUGGGUUACUUAUAUUUCUAAAUUUAUAUGUAUAAUACAUUAAAAUGUAUUAUGUGUACGUCUGACUGUGUUUCUGUGAGAGCUGAACGAGUCACUAAUGAGUCAUUGUAAGGGACAAACCUGACAAUUAAUAUUUGUAAUAUUCUGAAUCAUUAAUAAAAAAAAAAUAAAAAUAAAAAAAGUGUUUUAGAAAGUAAAAGUAUGUGAUUACUUUUCCAAUUAACUAAUCAGCAAAGUAAUCUGAAUACAGUUUUAGAUAAGUGAUUAGAAAUUGGUAGUUGAUUAUGUUUUGAUUCAUGAAUUACUGUUCAUUAAUAUUUAACUUAAAAAUAUGUUGUGGAAGGUACAGCUUUUUUUGUACUUUGAUAUUUUGUACUUUGAUAUUUCAUAUUUGAAAUAAAAUAAAAUUCGAACAAACCUACCCUGAAAAAUAUUCACAGGAGAACACAUUAUUGGGUCUGACCAAAACCUAGUGAGCGACCUCCGGAGGCAGCAUUUUAAGACAUCGUAGGUGAGCUCCUGACGCGAAUGCUGUUCCAAAAGGUAGGUUAUCUUAAUUAUGCUGCUUCUUAAGAUUUCUCGUUUAGGCCAAAUUCUAAGGUAGCAUCAUAUGUAUCCUUCCCUGGGUAGGCGAUCCCAGAAUGCAUCAUGAUGAGCUCGGCGGAAAAAUAAAUCCAAGAUGGCGGAAAAAGUGAGAUAAAGUGGUAAAGACGCUGGCUACCACCCCUGGAGUUCGCUAGUUCAAAUCCCAGGGUGUGCUGAGUGACUCCAGCCAGGUCUCCUAAGCAACCAAAUUGGCCCGGUUGCUAGGGAGGGUAGAGUCGCAUGGGGUAACCUCCUCGUGAUCGCUAUAAUGUGGUUCGUUCUCGGUGGGGCGCAUGGUGAGUUGAGCGUGGUUGCCGUGGUGGAUGGCGUGAAGCUUCCACACACGCUAUGUCUCCGUGGCAACGCGCUCGACAAGCCACGUGAUAAGAUUCGCAGGUUGAUGAUCUCAGACGCGGAGGCAACUGGGAUUCCUCCUCCGCCACCCGGACUGAGGCGAAUCACUACGUGACCACGAGGACUUAAAAGCACAUUGGGAAUUGGGCAUUCCAAAUUGGGAGAAAAAGGAAAAAAAAAAUAAAUAAAUUAUACAUACAUCACAGUCUUUCUAUAUUUGACUGGGAAAGGCACAUUCUCUCAUUGGAAUCAUUUUAAAAUAACCAGUAUUUCAACAAACAACUGAAGCUGUUAACAGCAGUUACUUCAAAGGUUAACUUGCUCACUUGGAAUGACAAUUCCAUGGUAAUUGAUGAAACUGAACAUCAUUUACAUUGCCAAGCGUUUUAUUUUUUCGAUGGCCUGCUUCCAUCAAGAUGGUUUAAAUAAGGCAGGAUUAAGGGAUUUUCUGAUUUAGCCAUGAAGUUGGCAGGCGAGACCUCGGCACAAAAAGAGGAAAGCAAAAAGAAAACAAGGUCUUUAAAAGCAAGCUUGUACUACACCUCAUUUGCAGCUGUUUAUUCAUCUCUAUCCCUGUUACAACUGUUAAAGACCUUAAUAUAAACUGCAAAAAUAAAAAGUAUGCUUUGAUAAAUAAGUCACUGAUAUGUGCAUGAAAUACACUGGAGGAGGUACUGUUUUCCCCCAAUGUAUAAUGCACUACACUUCCCUGGGUGCCAAAAAAAGUAAAAUGAAAAAUUAGAAUGCAGUUUCUGCACUGUGCUGGCUUUAAGAGACCAUCAACCUUUCCUUCAUCACUCUCAAACCCCCUUAACCCUUAAAUGCACACCUCGUGUCUUUAGAGAAUCGGGACCUCAUUCCACCCCCUGUACCUCAUCCAUUUUUUGGAGUUGUGCCAACACCUCUUUAGUAUUACUCAAUCUAUCUCUUAUAAACAGUAUAACGAAAAAAAUAAUUGCCAAAAUUGCAAAAAAGAAAAAAAAAAGAAAAAGAAAAUAUAGCUGCCAGUAGCAACUAAUGGGGUUCAAGCGGUUUAAGGCCUUUAAGCACAUGCGUAAAAAGGUAUUAUGUUUUAUUUAGCAAGCAUGUAACCACCUAGAUCAUAGAUGGAAUAGACCAUUUACAGCCAAGACAGGCAAUUUACUAAGGAAAUACAUGGUUUUUAAAUAUUUUUAAAGCGCAUAGCGCCACCUAUGGUCCGAUCUCCAUAAAAGUCUGCAUGCUUGUUUUGAAUCAUAUGUCACCUAAUUUCGUGAUGUUCUGAGUUUUUGUUUAGGAAUUAUGGGCUUAUUUGUACACUUGACCAUGCCCAUUUUCUAAAUGACACUGUUAUAGCUACCCUAAAGGUAAAGUAAAAAAUGUAAUUACUGACCUAGAGAGUCCAGAGAAUUGUACUGCAUUGGUUUUAUUGAGGUUGAGCGAAAAACCUAGGACUAGUUCACAAAAGUAGGUUUUUUACAUAAUCUUAAAUAUUUAAUGAAUGAUUUGAUUGACAGCAGUGGUUCUUGAGGCAGAGUUGUUCAGUAUGAGGAGAUAUAACAAAUUAUAUGAAUUAUAGCUGCGUCCCAAUUCAGAGGCUGCAUCCUACAAAGGUCUCAUUCGAAGGCCGAUUGCGUCACUGUUGUGCGACAAAGGCUGUCCCAAAUCGAAGGCUCCUUCAAAUGCGGCCUCCAAAUGUGUCCUUCGUUUCCCGUGAAAUGAAGGAUACAACAGAUGGCUCCUUCGUGGCCUUGCCUACCCCAGAAUUCAGUGCGCACCAGUGACGACAUUUUUUUUUUUUUUAAGAGAAAUUGCCAAAAUACACUUUUAAACGUAAGUAUUAGGUUUCAACUUACUCAAAUAUCUAAUUAUACAAAUGUAAAAAAAAAAAAAAAAGAAAUGUA